UACGGGGGGGGCAAGCGUUGUUCGGAAUUACUGGGCGUAAAGGGCUCGUAGGCGGCCAACUAAGUCGGACGUGAAAUCCCCAGGCUCAACCUGGGAACUGCGUCCGAUACUGGAUGGCUUGAAUCCGGGAGAGGGAUGCAGAAUUCCAGGUGUAGCGGUGAAAUGCGCAGAUAUCAGGAGGAACACCAAUAGCGAAGGCAGCUCGCUGGGACGGUACUGACGCUAAGGCGCGAAAGCGUGGGGAGCGAACAGG
rnacentral:rRNA from 1 species